GUGCUCCAGGCAUCCAUCCGCCAUGUCUACUUCUCCUGGAAACUGAACACGUGUGACUCUGCUAGCUGCCAACAGGUUCUAGAUGCCAGCAUGAUGCUGACCAGACUUUCCUGGACAGUGGACCUUACCAAUGUGUACUGGAGCUCCGCGUCCCCAGAGACCCACUCUACUAGAGAAAGAGAGAUGCAUUCUGGGAAUAUGGAUUGACCUGUCAACUCCCAUGUUCAGUGAAGAAGCAAUUACAGAAGCCAGACCUUCCACCUUCUGCAUCCCACAAUGAUCUUGGGUCCAUACUCCCAGAGGGAUAAAGAAUAGGAAAGCUAUCAGGGGCGCGGAUGGGAACGGAGAUCUGGUGGUGGGAAUUGUGUGGAGUUGUACCCCUCUUGUCCUAUUGUUUUGUUAGUCUCCUUUUUUAAAUAAAUAAAGAAAUAAUAAUAAAGAUUAAUGCAGAUCUGAAAUGUAGAUCUCAAAAAAGUGACAAUAUCAGAUAAUGUCAAAGUCUGAAAUGACUUCAAAGAUAUGUAAUCACUCAUUUGCAUUUUACAAGGUUCCAGAGGUAUUUGGGGGGAAGAAUGGAGAAUUUCCUGUUUGUUUGUUUGUUUGUUUUUUAUUAUUUGCCUCCAGGGUUAUUGCCAGGGCUUACUGUUGGAAUUACAAAUCACUGAUCUUGCAGCCUUUUUUUAAAAUUAUUGUUUUUUUUUCAUUUUAUUGGACAGGACAGAGAGAAAUUGAGAGGGGAGGGGGAUAGAUAAAGAGAGACACCUGCAGCCCUGCUUUGUUGGUUGUGAAUAUUUACUGGUCUUCACACCCUAUCUUAACAGUUUAUCACAUUGCUUCAAAUUUGCAGUUAUUUUGAUGAAAAAUAAAUAAAUAAAGGUGUGAA